rnacentral:lncRNA from 1 species
GAAACUAUUUUUCCUACAAAUUGAACGAAUAAAAACCAAACACCCGCUUAUUAUUUUUUGGAAAAACUUCAAAAAUCCUCCCUGUGGUUUUCAACUUUCUCACUUUAGUACCCUGUGGUUUAAAGUGUAUCAAUUUGCCCCCUUGUGGUUUUGUUUUUAUUUUUUCUUUAGUUUUUUUCUUAAUUUUUCGUUAAAUUAUAUGCAAAAAAAUUUCAGAUAUCCAUCUAGAUUUACCGAAUAUUUACUUU